rnacentral:rRNA from 1 species
UCCUACGGGGGGCAGCAGUGGGGGAUAUUGCACAAUGGGGGGAACCCUGAUGCAGCGACGCCGCGUGGGUGAAGGAGCGUUUCGGCGCGUAAAGCCCUAUCGGCAGGGAAGAGGGAGGACGGUACCUGACUAAGAAGCCCCGGCUAACUACGUGCCAGCAGCCGCGGUAAUACGUAGGGGGCAAGCGUUAUCCGGAUUUACUGGGUGUAAAGGGGGCGCAGACGGCAGCGCAAGCCAGG